CCUACGGGGGGCAGCAGUGGGGAAUAUUGCACAAUGGGGGAAACCCUGAUGCAGCGACGCCGCGUGAGUGAAGAAGUAUUUCGGUAUGUAAAGCUCUAUCAGUAGGGAAGAAAAUGACGGUACCUGACUAAGAAGCCCCGUCCAACUACGUGCCAGCAGCCGCGGUAAUACGUAGGGGGCAAGCGUUAUCCGGAUUUACUGGGGGUAAAGGGAGCGUAGACGGCGCGGCAAGUCUGAAGUGAAAGGCAGGGGCUUAACCCCUGAACUGCUUUGGAAACUGGCAUGCUAGAGUUCUGGAGAGGUAAGUGGAAUGCCUGGUGUAGCGGUGAAAUGCGUAGAUAUUAGGAAGAACACCGGUGGCGAAGGCGGCUUACUGGACAGUAACUGACGUUGAGGCUCGAAAGCGUGGGGAGCAAACAGGAUUAGAUACCCCAGUAGUC
rnacentral:rRNA from 1 species